ensembl:lncRNA
AGUGGCGUCUGACUCUGCGACGCCGUGGACGCAGCCCGCCAGGCUCCUCUCUCCAUGGGAAUCUCCAGGGGAGAACACUGGAGUGGGCUGCCGUGCCCUCCUUCGGAGGAUCUUCCUGACCCGGGGACUGAACCCACGUCUCUCGCUUCUGCGUUGGCAGGCGGGUUCUUUACCAUUAGCGCCACCAGGGCGCAUAGUAGGUGCUCAAGUAAAUGGCCCCUGUCGCUCUGAGCUGAACAAGAUGGGAGUUUCGCGAAAGAGGGUAAGAACGAAGGACCUGCAUUUGGCCACUCAGCAUCUUUCCCUGUCUUUGCCGCGGGCACCUGCUGCAGUGACUGACCCUCCUGUGCGACCGUGAAUUCCGGUGGUACCUACGGUUUCGCUUCUGUGGUCCCUGACCCUGCACUGUUAACAGGACAGGGCCACGACCACCGUCUCCGGAGAAACUCACCAUGCAUACGUCACUAUCCCCUCGUUGUGGAUGGAGAUCCAGGCUCAGAGAGGGAGAGCUGCUUUCUCGAGGUCACACAGCUUCGGAAGCAGAGUGCAGGCCAUGAUGGCUUUUCCCCCCAACCUCCAUCCAGGGGCACUGUGUCCCAUGCCACCUCUCGCAGGCGCUAGACAGAGCAUUUCCUGGUCUGUGUUUGGAGGCUGCGCCAAGGGCCAGGUGCAUUUCUGACUUGGCUGGAUCACAGGCUUCGGGGCAGGUGACCUUUUCACGGUGGCAUUUCCAGCUUUCCUUGUUCCCCUGAAUUCAGGCCGGGUCUGCCAGCAACAACCAGGUCAGGCAGGAGGAAGUUCUCCAGUUUCAGAGAAGAUAUUCAAGUGCUGGCCACAGAAAGCAGCCAGGCCUGGCCCCUGGGGUCUGGCCACCUGCCUGGUCCUUGCAGCCCAGGAAGGGCUGGAGGAGGGUGCUGGGGGGGCCUGGGUGUGAGUGAGCAUGGAGCUUUUGUCCUUUUCUUCAAAUCGCUUCCACCCCACACCUCCCAGAAGCUGCCUCGUUAAGCACACCAGGAACCCUGUGACCUCAGACCUUCUCCGAGUUUCCAGCUCAGGUCCCGCCCAUCUCUGCAGGGGCCUUUCCAGCCAAAAGUCAUUCCUUCUGUGAUUUCAAAGUGCUUUAUUUGUUCCCAUUUCUCCUACCUGGGGAUCCUGGAGGGAAGGUUCUGCAAGUGAACUUCAGGGCUCCCACCCCCAGGUCUAAAUUUGGGAAUCGGACUUCAGCUUUUCUUGCCUUUAUUUUUUUUUAAGACUUAAUUUUUUUAAGGACAGUUUUCAG